rnacentral:rRNA from 1 species
AACGAACGCUGGCGGCAUGCCUAACACAUGCAAGUCGAACGAGAUCUUCGGGUCUAGUGGCGCACGGGUGCGUAACGCGUGGGAAUCUGCCCUUUGGUUCGGAAUAACAGUUGGAAACGACUGCUAAUACCGGAUGAUGACGAAAGUCCAAAGAUUUAUCGCCAGAGGAUGAGCCCGCGUAGGAUUAGCUAGUUGGUGUGGUAAGGGCGCACCAAGGCGACGAUCCUUAGCUGGUCUGAGAGGAUGAUCAGCCACACUGGGACUGAGACACGGCCCAGACUCCUACGGGAGGCAGCAGUGGGGAAUAUUGGACAAUGGGCGAAAGCCUGAUCCAGCAAUGCCGCGUGAGUGAUGAAGGCCUUAGGGUUGUAGAGCUCUUUUACCCCGGAUGAUAAUGACAGUACCGGGAGAAUAAGCUCCGGCUAACUCCGUGCCAGCCGCCGCGGUAA